ensembl:lncRNA
GCGGAGCGCAGUGAGGGAGAUCCAGCAGAGAUCUCCUUAUAAAACCCGAUCAAAAAGCACCUGAAGUGUUUUUAUGCCCCUCCUUGAGCGAGGAUCACUGGUGUCUCUUUUAGCCCCCCUAUCUUCAGCUGUUUUGGAGUUAGCUGAAGUAAACUCACGCCCCAGGGCCAGCCUCCAUCACACUGCUGCCCCUGCACCGCCCUCUGUAGUAACGCAACAGCUCUUAAAGAAAACUGUGGAGUCUUUUAGUGAAACCAUCCGAGCACGGCACUCCCACUGUUUCAAACAGGAUCCUAAAGGACGUGCAACAUUUCAUCCAAGUGGACCAUCAAUAACUUAUUAAGUAAAAGUUUCCUGAGCCUGCUAACUGUACAGUGAGCCCUCCCUGCAGACCGUCGACAAGGUCAAGGCUUUACAUACGGGUCCCUCUGAAUAUCGACGAGCCGUGGGCAAUAAGAGGGAGAAGAAAAAAAAAACUCCACAUAUUUGUCUCUGAUUUACGAGGUGGAAGCGAGUGAUGCUGAGCAGACGAAAGUGGUUAGCACACACAGCCAAACAUCUCCAAAUUCUUCUUUUUCUUUUAGUUUUAUCUUACCCAUAAACUCUUCAGAAUGGUGUUGUCUAUCAUCAGUGCCAUUGGCUGUCUGCUUGAGGCCUGGCUCCAAACACCCAAGGAAUAAAGUAAGAGUUUAUGAGACCACAACUUAUUGUUUUCACCCUGCUGCUGGCGAAGGGAGUUUUUUGACAUUUCGAAAUGAUAUGACAAAAAUCCCACAGAACGAAUUUCUUGCUUUUGGGAACGAAAUGGUUGGAAAUGCGAAUAGGUGAAAUUUGUAUUACAAAAUAUGAUUUAGUAUCUUAUAGAUUUUAGUUUAAUAUCUAAAAACGUAACUGAUACACACUGAUGUCUUCCUAUACGUUUAAGGGUGCGUGUCUUUGAAUAGCCUAUAUGUUGAACCACUUAACAAGCGUUCUCUUAAAAAAUAAAAAAUAAAAAUGAAAUAAAAUAAAAACUACCAGGAGACAUAACUUAUACAUAUAUGUUGUAGUCAUGCCACUAUUUGUGUUAUAUUAUUUAAGGUGUUUUGCUAAAUUACAAUUUUAUUUCAUUAGUCAAAUAGAACAACAUCACUCGUCUGUAACUUGUCUGUAAGUUUCUAUCAUGCAGUGGCAUUCAGUUAUCGAAGUCAAGGCAAAUUGUUAUAUAGUGCCACCUUGUGGCGAAGAUUCGUUAUGACGCGUUAACUUUUAUUCCACAUGAAAGUUGAGUUUGCAUAGAGAACAUCUAUUACCUUUUUGGACGAUAAGUAACUUAAGUAUUCGUUACUUUACGUUACCUGUAUUUACACAAGGACAAAUAUUGCAUGACAUUCACUAAGAAUAUGCAAGAUGAUGAUGAUGAUAAUAAUAAUACUAAUAUUUAACUUUUAUUAAAUGCAAAAUUAGUGAUUCAAUAAAAUUCAGAUAUCUGAUAUCUUGGACCUUGUGUUGCUGGUUUACUAAUAAAACAAUACGAGUAGAGCUUUCAAUCUCCACAGGCCCAGACACUCCCCAACCAUCAGACUCUGUUGAUACAAAAAGAAAAGAAAAAAAAGAGUAGGUUACUUUAAUAAGUAAUACUUUAAAGAAAUACUUUGUUAACUUUUAUUACUAAACACUAUUGUAUUAAACCUUUAUUAUUACAUGUAAUAUUAAAUGUAAAAAAGAAGCCCUUUUUAAAAAGUUCUCUAUGUUUAUACAUCUGUCCACCGACUUCUUGGGUGUACAGUGGUAAAAUAAACAUAAAUCGUCUCACAUUAUCUCUGGCUGGGUGUUUUGGCCCGUUCUUGUGCUGGACUGUAGCCUACAUAUUUCCUGUUUGCUCCUUACAGUAUCGCAGCCCUGCAAAGCGUCAUGACGUCACUGCGGUGUCAUUUUUAUUUACACGAGACUCCAGCUGUUACAUUGACUCGGCAGACAGAUUCGAUGUGUGUGUCCGUGGGUGUGUGUCAUCG